CUGUUGAUACCAAAAUUGAGCCGACCUAAUCCACGUAUGAGCCAAUAAGGACACGUGGUACACCAGGAGUUGGCAAUAAGGCGCCUGAAGGACAAAAAGGUGGGAACGGUUGAAGAUUGGGGCGUAACUUCCAUGAGGAAUUAGCGUAACUUCCAUGAGGAGUUAGUAUAACUUCCACGAUCAUGGUUACAACCACUCUCCCCAACUACUUUCAACCAACUAAUAAUAUGGGCUAUAAAUAGUAACUUUGAAGCCUGCAAUAGGGGUCUUUGCCCCUGCGCACAGAAAACAACUGUUAUUUUCCUGCAUCUUUCUUUCUCGCAUUUACUGCUUUCCCUAGGAGUAGUUCUUGUAACUUAGAUCUUUGGAGUCUGUCUGCCCCAUGGGCAUCACUCCCUUAUAGAAUAUACUUAGAGUCUGUCUGCCCCAUGGGCAUCACUCCCUUGUAGUUGGAGUUUGUCUGCCCCACGGGCAUCACUCCUCUGUUCUUGUACUCCUCCAUUCCCUAUUCAGUAGAAAGUCACGUUCGGCUAUUCGGGCCGACCAGAUUUUGUGUUGUGCUAGCCAUUCGGCUCAUCUCCCGGCUUAAAUUCCGACUUUUCCCGCACAUUCGGCUCAUCCAGCCGAACCGGAGAGUGAAAAGAGCUUUCGAACCCGGCUGAUUUGAUCCCUCAUCAGCCAAUUCGCUUGAUCUAGUCGAAGGGCGCAAACUUCGAGGGUCACUAUCCGCAGUCGUUCCUCACCCCGACACGCUCCACGAGGAGGAUCUUUGACCAGGUCAAAGGUCGAAAAAUUCGGCUACCAACAAAUUUUGGCACGCCCGGUGGGACACAUUUUUAGAUAAAUUUAUAUUUUAUAUAAAUUAUGGUUGAUGAUCUACGUAAUAGGGUUGUUCCUAGAAAUUCUGGGAGUGAUCAACCUAGUAAUUUAGACAAUGCUGGCGAAUGUCAAGCAGUUUUGCCAGUUGAAGGAGAAAUUAGUGGACAGUCGGCUCAUCAAGAGCCGAGUCUAACUCAGGCACUCGGCUAGAUGAGGCGAGUCCUGCAAACUUUAGAUCAAAAUAUCCAUCAAAGUACCGCUCGACUAGACGCGGUGCUGGCCGCUAUCAUGGCCUAUAAUGAAAAUAUUGGUCAAAUCAGACAAUUAUUUAUCCAAAACAAGCAACCUUAUGGGGGGCAACAAGAGCCCCUAAAUGUGCCGGUGCAACAAAAUCCCGUCACACCAGCGGUUUUACAGGCGCAACCGCAAAUGGCACCUUUCCAGGUUGCUUACAGGCCGGCGAAUAUAAACGCCGGCCCUCAGUCGGAGAUUGCAUCGGGUUUACCUCCUUUACCAGCUUAUCAGCCCCAAAAUGUAGGGAUUAGGGCUGAGAGGCAGGCCCUUAAUGAUAUGCAAGGAGCGAACCCUGCAAUACAGAAUUCUAGAGUUCCUCAAGAGCAAAAUUCGGCUCAAGCACAAGCUCCGUUGUAUACUCAGAUUGAGGAAGUCAUUCGGAAUACCUUCGGAGUAGGGGCCAGGCCGGCUAUGCGGCCUGUUUUUCGAUCCCCAUAUCCGGCAAACAUAGAUACAGAACAUCCGUAUCAGACAAACUGGAAAAUGCCGAAGUUCGACAAGUUCUGGGGCGAUGAGACCGAGAAUACGAUCGAGCAUAUAGCCUGGUUCACGGCCCAAUGUAGAGAAGCGGUCGCUGACUCAUUUUUAAAACUUUGAUUAUUUAACACGUCGUUAACUAAAACGGCGUUUACUUGGUAUACAAGUUUAUCAGCCAAUUCCGUCCAAAAUUCGGACGAAUUGGAAAGAAAAUUUCAUGAGCGAUUCUAUAGAUCGGAGCCACAAUUAUCGGUCGCCGACUUGACUUUAUACUGACAAAUGUCAGGUGAAACGGUCGAAGAGUAUUUGGACCGUUUCAAAAUAGCCAAAACCCGGUGCUUUAUGAGAAUGCCGGAAUCAGAGUUCGCCAAAAUGGCGUUAAAUGGUCUACAUUUUAAGAUAAAAGACCAUUUUGAAGAUAAGUAUUUUUCUAACCUAUUUGAUCUAGGUGUUCGAGUUGCCCAAUACGAGCAAUUUCAGAAAAAAAGUGAGGACGAUCGGCUGCAAUGGAGCCGAUAUAAAAAUCAAAGCAAAUGUAAGGAGAAAUCCUUGCUAGAAGAACAGUCGGCUCAAGAAGAGCCGAGCCAAUCGAGUGAAAGUGAAGAAUCGGCUGAUGAAGCCGAGAUAUAGCUACUUUCUUUAAGAAGAAUAUUUUGAUAGAAAAAUAUUUGGUUCAAGAAGAGCCGAACUAAUCGAAUAAAAGUAAAGAAUCGGCUGAUGAAGACGAGAUAUAUAUGGCUGGGAUAAUAAAGCGCCGUUUUUCUAAAGCCGACCAAGACAAGCGAAACUAAAGCUUGGGUCUCGGCUAUACUUUUGAACAGUCGAUUUGGCACUAAUAGUCAUUCGAAUGUUCAUUCGAAAGACUAUUGGGGGGGCAUUAUUGAUACCAAAAUUGAGCCGACCUAACCCACGUAUGAGCCAAUAAGGACACGUGGUACACCAGGAGUCGGCAAUAAGGCGCCUGAAGGACAAGAAGGCGGGAACGGUUGAAGAUUGGGGCGUAACUUCCAUGAGGAGUUAGCGUAACUUCCAUGAGGAGUUAGUAUAACUUCCACGAUCAUGGUUACAACCACUCUCCCCAACUACUUUCAACCAACUAAUAAUAUGGGCUAUAAAUAGUAACUUUGAAGCUUGCAAUAGGGGUUUUUGCCCCUGCGCACAGAAGACCACCAUUAUUUUUCUGCAUCUUUCUUUCUCGCAUUUACUGCUUUCUCUAGGAGUAGUUCUU
rnacentral:lncRNA from 1 species